AAGUCGAACGCACAGCGAAAGGUGCUUGCACCUUUCAAGUGAGUGGCGAACGGGUGAGUAACACGUGGACAACCUGCCUCAAGGCUGGGGAUAACAUUUGGAAACAGAUGCUAAUACCGAAUAAAACUUAGUAUCGCAUGAUACCAGGUUAAAAGGCGCUACGGCGUCACCUAGAGAUGGAUCCGCGGUGCAUUAGUUAGUUGGUGGGGUAAAGGCCUACCAAGACAAUGAUGCAUAGCCGAGUUGAGAGACUGAUCGGCCACAUUGGGACUGAGACACGGCCCAAACUCCUACGGGAGGCUGCAGUAGGGAAUCUUCCACAAUGGGCGAAAGCCUGAUGGAGCAACGCCGCGUGUGUGAUGAAGGCUUUCGGGUCGUAAAGCACUGUUGUAUGGGAAGAAAAGUUAAGGUAGGGAAUGACCUUAGCCUGACGGUACCAUACCAGAAAGGGACGGCUAAAUACGUGCCAGCAGCCGCGGUAAUACGUAUGUCCCGAGCGUUAUCCGGAUUUAUUGGGCGUAAAGCGAGCGCAGACGGUUGGUUAAGUCUGAUGUGAAAGCCCGGAGCUCAACUCCGGAAAGGCAUUGGAAACUGGUUAACUUGAGUGCAGUAGAGGUAAGUGGAACUCCAUGUGUAGCGGUGGAAUGCGUAGAUAUAUGGAAGAACACCAGCGGCGAAGGCGGCUUACUGGACUGUAACUGACGUUGAGGCUCGAAAGUGUGGGUAGCAAACAGGAUUAGAUACCCUGGUAGUCCACACCGUAAACGAUGAACACUAGGUGUUAGGAGGUUUCCGCCUCUUAGUGCCGAAGCUAACGCAUUAAGUGUUCCGCCUGGGGAGUACGACCGCAAGGUUGAAACUCAAAGGAAUUGACGGGGACCC
rnacentral:rRNA from 1 species